AUACGAACCAGGGCUAUUGCAUUAAAGCUCACAUAAAUUGAAGCUGUUUUGUCCACUUUCUAAAAUAUAUCAACAAAAAUGUUGUCAAAAAUAUGUAAGUUAAAAAAUAAGCACAUCCUUCAAUAAUAUAAGUGAAUGAAUUACAUUGAUUUAAACACUACAACUUCUGUACUUUUUAAUUGUCCUCUGGGGUAAAUAAUGCUUAAAAGUAUUAUAAUAGAGAAUCUUUUGAGCUUAAAUUUUGCUGAUACCAUAUCCUUAGGAAGGCUGAUAGUUUAAAAAUCACCAGAUGAAAUUUACCUAUAUGUUCUGCAGAUGUCACGGACUCUCAGAAAGAUGAAGGUAACCAUUUGCUCAUCAUGAUUAAACAAAUGAACAAAUGAACCUCGGUUUAUUAAUAGAGAAAAAUUUAUAUUCUAAGAUAUAUUUCAUUUAUUUUUAAAUUAUUAUAAAUUUAUUUUUAAAAAUAAAAUUCAGUAUUUUCUUUUCUUUUUUAAAAUCUUCUUUCCUAUUAGGUAUCUUACUUUUACUUUUCUGACCAAUUUAUUUCCAGAAACUUCAAAAUCAGAGGCAUCAAUGUUCCCUUUUUACAGAGUGCCUUUAAUCCCAAAAGGACAUUCCUGUUCUUUAGGUUCUAUCUCUCCUAUAUCAGUCACUAAUCUAAGCAUUUAACUUUCAGUUGUGUAAAAACACUGAUUGAUCUGGACACCCUUCCCCCCAAACUACCACAUUUCAGCCUGAAAACAUUUAAUAACACCAUGCUCUAGACAUCAAUGACCAAUGGCUCAGCAAUAGUAUGUGGGCUUUGGUCUAUCUUCUCCUCCAAAAAAUUAAGACUAUUUGCUUUGUUUCAAUGAUUCAUCAUAUUAUUGAGAUUUUAUUAUUUCUGCAUAAAAAUAUUGAGUCAAAACAAUAAGUUCAUCUUCAAUAAUAGAAAAAAGAAAACCUAGACAGAGUCAAGCAGAAGAGGUCCAUAUUUGGCAGUUAACAUAGAUUUUACCACAAGAGAUAGAAAAGAGUCAUGGCUCUUAUAUUGUACCUUGUUUUUUCAAAUCAAUAUGCUAUUGUAUUCUAAGCCAAACAAUAAAUCUCAUCCUUAGCUUUGUAAAACAGAUUUGCUUUUAAUCCAUUUUCUAUUGGGGAAAUAAGAAAUAUACAGAAAUAAAACAUGGGGUAUAGUCCUCUUUUUUGUUUUGUUUUGCUUUAAUUUAUAGAUGCUCCUUAUCUAUCCACCUAGAGCCCAGGAGCAUGCUGUGUUACAAUUGUGUGCCUCACAGAAGCAAACUAGCAAAAAGAUGAAACCAUAUGUAAGAGGUUUUUCUAAGAGGAGAAGAAAAACACAAUUUUCUUAAAGUCGAAGAGGCUUAGCUGCUAUGGAAGUCUUUAAUACAGAGAACUGAGCUCCAAGACUAUACUUUCUUAUUCUUUAAGAACUUACAUAAAAGGCUUUCACUCUUUUGUUUUUUUCUAGCACAAAAAAAACACUUGAAAUAUUUGUAGGUGAUCCCUAGAGAUGUAUUUCGGGCACCGUAUAUGUGUAAGUAGUUUUUUGGAACUUUAUAUUAGUGUAUUAGUAUAAAUAUCCUCAAUGAUGAUAUGGCUGAACUUGUAGUCUUAUUUUAGCAGUGAGAAGAAAAAGGUUUACCAAAGAAAGAACAAAUAAUUAUUUUGGUUUGUUUACUAAUGCGGAAGAAGAGAAAGGAUAAGAAUUAUAAAUGGGGGAAUAAUAGGAACAAAGCAAACUAGUGGAUUUUGUUCUAUUAAAGUGUAGUCUGCAAGUAGUUUGAAAGGAGGUAUAGGUGACUGGUGAAGGCUAAUGAAGACAGGUAAGCAUAGAAAAGAUUAUGACUUGCUCAGAGGGCCAUGAAGACAGUUUAAAAAAGGAUUUUUAAUUAGGUAGUAUUAUAAGCAUUGGUAUUUGAAAAAGUCAUUGUUAACACAGAGUACAGAAAUGAUUAAAAAGAGUUGGAAGAUAUUUUAGUAAUACAAACAUGAUAUGUUAACAGUAUUAACUGAGACACAUUGUAGUUAGAUGGACAAAAGUAAGUGUCUUCUAAACUAUUAAGACCGUUGAAAUUAAAUUUGGUGAUCCCUUGGCUAUAGCUGAUAUAGAAGGAGAGAUAAAGGGGCCAUAGGAUUUAAGUUUAGGAAAUAAGGUGAAUUAUAAUGGUGCGCUUCAUUAAGAGGAGAUGAUCUGAAGUGAUAGUCCAAUAACUAGUUCAAACUGUGAUUUUGAGUGUGAGAUGCCAAGGGCUCAUUCAAGGGGAUAUAACAAGAGACUAUUGAAUAUAGAUGCAUUGUUGUGAAAAUCUGCUGAGAGAUCAAGGCUAGGUUUUAUUUUUUUUUCCUAGUGGAAAUUCCUAGAACAUUAAUAGAGUUGAAGCUAAAGUUUCUAAUUUCCUUAUUACCUAGGAGUAGGUAAAUGACCAUGUAGGUAUGAAUAAAAUAAUAGUAUUUAAUCUCAUUUAUAUUCUUUCAUAUUUGCUGCUUUCCUUCCUAAUAUGAAUUUGUAUGUGUUUCUUGCUGUACCUUCCUAAAGCUAUGCUCACAUGCUUGGUAUAAGUUCAUUAUAGGUAUAGAUUUUUUUCAACUCAAUUGCAUAUUGCUUCCUUUAAAUGUGCUUUUCAAAGGCUAUUUGUUGACUAAUCAAUACCCAAUAAACAGGUGUGACUUUUCUCACCAUUACCACACAGUUUCUACUAUAAGUAUCUUUAAUCUUGUUCUGAUUAUCUUCUAAAUAUGCUUAUUGGAUCUUUUUUUUUUGUACAAAAUUGGCUUUUUUUAAUCCCAUUACCUUUUAAUGGAAAUAAUACUAUCUCCUUAUGUGGGGGAGGGAGGUGCUCAGCUUUAAACAAUCUCCAGAUUCAACAAUCAAAAACAUUAUUAAACCCAGACUUAACAGUCAAAAACAUUAUAAAACCUUUCAGUAAACUGUAGCUCAGGAAAUCACAAUUAAUCAAUUUACCUCUAAUAUAACAUAGAAGCAUUUUUAUGCUUGUAACUACCAAUUAGGGUGAUGGAAAGUUCAAGGAACCCAUGAAACCUAGUACUGAGAGAUGACUGUCACUCACCUUUGCACUCUUCUAGCCAUUAAUUUGAUGUUACCUCCUAAAGAUUUAUUUUCUCAUCCAAGUGAUAGGAAAGCAAACUCUUGCUUUUCCAAUCUAAUAAGGCUAUUGUAGAGAUUAAAAUCAAAAUUAAAAAAGGAUUACCUUUCUGAAUGGAUUUGUAAUCUGCAACUGUAAUUAAAUAUCAAAAAAUGUUAUUACAGUGUUCAUUUUGCCUUUGUUUUUGCAAACUUAACAAUUCAUCAGUUUGGUUUGUUUAAUGCAGUUGACGCCUUUCUCACUAUUCAAUUACAUUGACUGAUUAUGACUAACUUUAUUUAAAAACAUUUUAUUUCCUACUCUGCCUACCAUUUUCUCUAUCUCUGGCAACCCUGAUUAGAAUUUGAGCUAUUUCUUUUCCACUGAGUUUCUAGAAUUGGCCUGACAGAACUUUGGUUGGAGGCCAGCCCUUAGCUUCUGCCUUGUAGUAUGUUGAGAGCUUCGAGGUUUCAGAAAGAUAUGCCAACAAAAUAUUUUCAGAAGACAGAAUUAAUAUCAUAAAGAUUCUAGAGAAUUUUGCAUAUUUUCAAAUGCAUUUCUUUAAAUAAACAUUUUUUUCAGUAUUGAUUCCUAGUGCCAUAGAAUUGAGUUCCUGAGGAGGCAAAACAAUCACACUAGUAAAUUAUGUUAGCUAGGCUUAGAAAAUAAAUCGCUACUUGCUUAUAAGCAAAAUAAUUGUUAUAUGUUUUUGACAACAUAAAUAUAAAAUGAAACAGAAUAUUUAACUUUAAAAUAUUCUUCAUAAACACUCAUUAUCACAUUUAAUAGCUUGUAAUAUCUUCUAAUUGUUAAAAUGCUGUGCUGAUUGUUGAAAAUGCAUAGGGCAAACAUACAAAUACCAGCAUGCCUCUAACUGCAAAGUUGUUUUCUCAAACACAAACUUCCUUUGUAAUUAUUCUUUCUGUGCUCAUUUCUAUAGGUAUUGUGCGGUACAAUACAUCAUGCUAAAGGUCUAGUCAUUACCUUGAUGCAUGAGCUUCAUUUUACUGGGUAGAAAGGCAUGGCUGUUAUAGCAAUUUUAAUCAAAUACAUAAUUUAGGCAAGUAUGUAAAAAACAUUUUUUCUACACAUUAAUGUCCUUCUAUGAUGCUGUUUCUAUGUAUGUUAGCGAAUAAAAC
rnacentral:lncRNA from 1 species